rnacentral:tRNA from 1 species
GGGCUCGUGGUUCAGCGGAAGAACGCUCGGCUGGCAGCCGAGAAGUCGGGGGUUCAAAUCCCUCCGAGUCCA